UACGGAGGGUGCGAGCGUUGUCCGGAAUCACUGGGCGUAAAGGGCGCGUAGGUGGCGCGAGGAGUCUGUGGUGAAAGCCCGAGGCUCAACUUCGGGUCGGCCGCGGAUACUCUCGUGCUGGAGGGUGGUAGAGGCCAGUGGAAUUCCGGGUGUAGCGGUGGAAUGCGUAGAGAUCCGGAAGAACACCGGUGGCGAAGGCGGUUGGCUGGGCCACACCUGACACUGAGGCGCGACAGCGUGGGGAGCAAACAGG
rnacentral:rRNA from 1 species